rnacentral:rRNA from 1 species
UACGUAGGGGGCAAGCGUUGUCCGGAAUCACUGGGCGUAAAGGGCGCGUAGGCGGCCUGAUAAGUAGGGGGUGAAAUCCUGCGGCUUAACCGCAGGGCUGCCUUCUAAACUGUCAGGCUAGAGCACAGUAGAGGCAGGUGGAAUUCCCGGUGUAGCGGUGGAAUGCGUAGAGAUCGGGAGGAACACCUGUGGCGAAGGCGGCCCCCUGGUCGGAUACUGACGCUGAGACGCGAAAGCGUGGGGAGCAAACAGG